ensembl:ribozyme RNaseP_nuc Nuclear RNase P
GCAGAGGAAGCUCAUCUGUGGGGCCCCUGGGAAGGUCUGAGACUUGCCCUAGUGGGAAGGUGAGUGCCCAGGUGGGAAGGUGAGUUCCCGAGAGCAGGGCUCCAUGCAUGGGCAGACUGCACAUCAGAUGCCUCUCUUGCAGGAGCUUGAAGAGAUGCACAUCCAGCACAGAGCCAGUUCAAUGACUGAGGACCUCAUAUUCCAUUUCAAACAAUCAUGAAUUUCCAUCUUGU